GGCUUCAUAGUUCAGUUAGUAGAGCAUCGCAUCGGUAUCGCGGAGGUCAUGGGCCCGGUCAUGGGUUCGAAUCCCGUUGUAGCCU